UAGGGAAUCUUCGGCAAUGGGGGCAACCCUGACCGAGCAACGCCGCGUGAGUGAAGAAGGUUUUCGGAUCGUAAAGCUCUGUUGUAAGAGAAGAACGUGUGUGAGAGUGGAAAGUUCACACAGUGACGGUAACUUACCAGAAAGGGACGGCUAACUACGUGCCAGCACCCGCGGUAAUACGUAGGUCCCGAGCGUUGUCCGGAUUUAUUGGGCGUAAAGCGAGCGCAGGCGGUUUAAUAAGUCUGAAGUUAAAGGCAGUGGCUUAACCAUUGUUCGCUUUGGAAACUGUUAAACUUGAGUGCAGAAGGGGAGAGUGGAAUUCCAUGUGUAGCGGUGAAAUGCGUAGAUAUAUGGAGGAACACCGGUGGCGAAAGCGGCUCUCUGGUCUGUAACUGACGCUGAGGCUCGAAAGCGUGGGGAGCAAACAGG
rnacentral:rRNA from 1 species